ACUGGGCCGAAGAAGGACGCCGCGUCGUUUACAUUACACCAGCCCCGUUGGAAAGCCUGCCGGCGGCCUGUCACGACAGAAGUAAUCCAGCACCCGCGGCUUUCAAGCUGAUGAGAUUUAUUUGAAAAUUAUUGCGUAAUAAAUCGCAGUUCAUUUGUAUCCACGAAUCGAUCAAUUCGUUGCGAAGCGGCGCCAUUAUGUUGCGCCAUAGAAUAAUAUUAGAAGGAACGGUUUUCAAUCGAGAAACAUUGUUUAACAUACCGGAAGCAAUCGAUCAAGGAACAUUAGUUACUUUACACGUCACACGCGACAGAUAUUGACAUUCAGCGUGCAUAAACAUACACAUUGUUUACGAGCGAUCGUAUUUUCAGAAGAUGCUACGUUAAACGCACAUAGAUCACGUCAAGGAACAUUAUUCAUCUGGAAUAGUAGAGGAUUACACUGAAGUACCUAGAGAACUAUGAGGCUCUCAUCGAACGACUUGUGGAAUUGCACACAUUCGUCACUUUACCUUCUGUCCUCCUGAUCGACGACUUCGACGCUUAUGCGAACGAUUACCAAAAGAACGACGUAUCCCAAG